AGCAGAGAGGGCGGCCUGGAGGACUGGCACUCGGACACCAAAAGGGACUCGUCGAAGUGGUGACCGACGCCGGACUGGGAUAAAACCAGUGCUUCUUUAUUCUAACAUGCUGCUUGUUAGUUAUUUUUAUUCGUUCAGAAGAUUAUAAUGUAACUGGGAUGCUAAAGUAUCAAGAAGUCAGCACAAAACUCACCUUUAAAAAAUGAAAACACGCCAAAGAAGAGUUUUUAACGAAGAUUUCUCCAGAAGCCCAAGUCAUUAUGAAUCAUGUGUGAAAGUAAAACAUAGACCCUCUCACACGUUUCUGUGUUUACUCAUGUCUGUGUACGCGUGUGAUAGCCAAGUGAGUGUCCCUCAGAUGUUCCCUUUGACCUUUGACCCCCAAGCUGGGGUCAAACCCUGAGAAAUGAGACGGCCGAGCUCUGACCAGAGCUGCAAACAUUCCACAACAAUCUUCUGUCCUCCUCCUCUCCUGAUAUUAGUCACCGCUCUCCCCUCUCAGUCCGUCUCCUCUCAGGCUAAGGAGAAGGCAGAGCGUGCUCUCACCACACAAAGCACUUCAUGCUGCACGUGCAGCGAGAAUCUUUAAGCACUUCAAAUUGUAACUCGAACAUUUGAUACAUUUAGUGUCCCUGACGUUGUUUACAGAACGAGGAGAAACAAAAGCCUGUGAAACGAGGAGGGAAGCUCUAAAGAUUUGGAUAUUAAAACCACCAAGUGUGUGUGUGUGUGUGUGUGUGUGUGUGUGUGUGUGUGUUUGGUAAGCCUGUCAGUGAUGUCAAAGAUGAGAAAUGUUGCAGUGAGGUUUUUUACACACGCUGCUGGCUCUAGCAUUUCCGGCAACAUUUCUCACUCUGCCUUCCUCACACUAUCCGCUCUGCUGCAAUCUCCCCACAUUUUUCCAUCCUUUCAGUCCUUCCCCUCUCUGCUGCCCCACCCUGCCUAAUCUCAGCAUUUCCCCCUCCUCUCUCUCUCUCUCUCUCUCUCUCUCUCUCUCUCUCUCUCUCUCUCUCUCUCUCUCUCUCUCCGCCCAGCACAUUGACUCAGCUCCCCUCUUUUCUUUUCUCCACCCCCUGUUCUCUCUGAUUUUCUCGUCACUAACACCAGUGUCUUUAGGAUGAGAGUGUGGUCCUCCUCCUUUGGACGCGACUUAAGGAGCAGCUGCAGUGUCACAAAGAAGCCUCAAAACCAACAACAUGACAAACUGAGAGUCACACUCCUGAACUAGCCUUCAUAGUGAUGUAAGGAGACUAAAAGUCAAUGCAAAAAUUGCAAAAAUCUCAAUAAAAGAUGACAAAUUUUUUUAUGUG